rnacentral:rRNA from 1 species
GAUGAACGCUGGCGGCGUGCCUAAUACAUGCAAGUAGAACGCUGAAGGAAGGAGCUUGCUCUUUCCGGAUGAGUUGCGAACGGGUGAGUAGCGCGUAGGUAACCUGCCUGGUAGCGGGGGAUAACUAUUGGAAACGAUAGCUAAUACCGCAUAACAGUAGAUGUUGCAUGACAUUUACUUGAAAGGUGCAAUUGCAUCACUACCAGAUGGACCUGCGUUGUAUUAGCUAGUUGGUGAGGUAACGGCUCACCAAGGCGACGAUACAUAGCCGACCUGAGAGGGUGAUCGGCCACACUGGGACUGAGACACGGCCCAGACUCCUACGGGAGGCAGCAGUAGGGAAUCUUCGGCAAUGGACGGAAGUCUGACCGAGCAACGCCGCGUGAGUGAAGAAGGUUUUCGGAUCGUAAAGCUCUGUUGUAAGAGAAGAACGAGUGUGAGAGUGGAAAGUUCACACUGUGACGGUAUCUACCAGAAAGGAC